rnacentral:rRNA from 1 species
AACGAACGCUGGCGGCGUGCCUAACACAUGCAAGUCGUGCGAGAAAGUUCCUUCGGGAGCGAGUAAAGCGGCGCACGGGUGAGUAACACGUAGGUAACCUGCCCCCCAGUCUGGAACAACUAGAGGAAACUCUAGCUAAUGCCGGAUGAGACCACGAUCCCUUCGGGGGUUGCGGCCAAAGAUGGCCUCUACUUGUAAGCUAUCGCUGAGGGAUGGGCCUGCGGGCCAUUAGCUUGUUGGUGAGGUAACGGCUCACCAAGGCUGUGAUGGCUAGCUGGUCUGAGAGGAUGACCAGCCACACUGGGACUGAGACACGGCCCAGACUCCUACGGGAGGCAGCAGUGGGAAUAUUGCGACAAGUGGGACGAAAGCCUGACGCAGCGACGCCG